AUUGAACGCUGGCGGCAGGCCUAACACAUGCAAGUCGAGCGGAUGAGGGAAGCUUGCUUCCCGAUUUAGCGGCGGACGGGUGAGUAAUGCCUAGGAAUCUGCCUAUUAGUGGGGGAUAACGUUCCGAAAGGAACGCUAAUACCGCAUACGUCCUACGGGAGAAAGUGGGGGAUCUUCGGACCUCACGCUAAUAGACGAACCUAGGUCGGAUUAGCUAGUUGGUGAGGUAACGGCACACCAAGGCGACGACCCGUAGCUGGUCUUAGAGGAUGGUCAGCCACACUGGAACUGAGACACGGUCCAGACUCCUACGGGAGGCAGCAGUGGGGAAUAUUGGACAAUGGGCGAAGGCCUGAUCCAGCCAUGCCGCGUGUGUGAAGAAGGUCUUCGGAUUGUAAAGCACUUUAAGUUGGGAGGAAGAGUUGUAAGCUAAUAUCUUGCAGCUUUGACGUUACCAACAGAAUAAGCACCGGCUAACUCUGUGCCAGCCGCCGCGGUAAGAC
rnacentral:rRNA from 1 species